rnacentral:tRNA from 1 species
GCCAGUGUGGUGUAGUGGUUUGACUGUUGGACUGUGACUCCGGAGGCCAGGGUUCAAUUCCCCGCUCAGCUA